rnacentral:ncRNA from 1 species
UUUGCAGUUUGCGAGAAAGUUGAAAGUAAAGGGAGAACAACAUAUAAUGAGGUUAGUGCUUUAUUAGUUUUUAGCUCAAAAUUCCUGUUGUUAUUUUUUCAUCAUUUGUGUGGGCUGCAUGCGUUUUGCCAUAUAUUAACCAGAAACCAGGCUGCAACUCGCCUGCAUGAAGCAGGAAUCGCUAGUAAUCGCCGGUCAGCCAUACGGCGGUGAAUCCGUUCCCGGGCCUUGUACACACCGCCUGUCACACUAUAGGAGCUGGCCAUGUUUGAAGUCAUUACCCUUAACCGUAAGGAGGGGGAUGCCUAAGGCUAGGCUUGCGACUGGAGUGAAGUGGCCAUAGUUUGAUAUGUGACCCUAUUCCUUCGCAUA